rnacentral:rRNA from 1 species
UACAGAGGGGGCAAGCGUUGUUCGGAAUUACUGGGCGUAAAGGGCGCGUAGGCGGCCUGUUAAGUCGAACGUGAAAUCCCCGGGCUCAACCCGGGAACUGCGUCCGAUACUGGCAGGCUUGAAUCCGGGAGAGGGAUGCGGAAUUCCAGGUGUAGCGGUGAAUGCGUAGAUAUCUGGAGGAACACCGGUGGCGAAGGCGGCGAUCCUGGACCG